GCUCCGAUGGUCUAGUGGUUACGACGUUGCUUUCCCAUGCUCCUAAUGAGCGAUAUCUGGAAUCAAGCAACAGCCCGGGUUCGAAUCCCGGUCGGUGCA
rnacentral:tRNA from 1 species